GACGAACGCUGGCGGCGUGCUUAACACAUGCAAGUCGAACGGAAAGGCCCUGCUUUUGUGGGGUGCUCGAGUGGCGAACGGGUGAGUAACAUGUGAGUAACCUGCCCUUGACUUUGUGAUAACUUCAGGAAACUGGGGCUAAUACCGGCUAGGAGCUCCUGCUGCAUGGGGGGGGUCGGAAAGUUUGGGCGGUUGUGGAUGUACUCGCGGCUUAUUAGCUUGUUGGGGGGGUAGUGGCUUACCCGGGCUUCGAUGGAUAGCCGGCCUGGGAGGGUGGCCAGCGACAUUGCGACUGCGAGACGGACCAGAGUGCUACAGGAGGCAGCAGUGGAGAAUAUUGCACAACGGUGGGAAGCCUGAUGCAGCAACGCCGCGUGCGUAAUGACGGCCUUCGGGUUGGAAACCGCUUUAGGCUGUGACGAAGCGUGAGUGACGGUAAUGGGUAAAGAAGCACCGGCUAACUACGUG
rnacentral:rRNA from 1 species